GAUGAAGAACGUAGCGAAAUGCGAUAAGUAAUGCGAAUUGCAGAAUCCGUGAGUCAUCGAAUCUUUGAACGCACAUUGCGCCCUUUGGUAUUCCGAAGGGCAUGCCUGUUCGAGCGUCAUUAUCACCACUCAAGCCCGGCUUGCUGUUGGUGGCAGCGCAGCCGGUCAACCGGCUACGCUCCACCCAAAGAUAAUGACGGCGUCUGCGAGGACUCCUGUACAUUGAGCUUUCGGGCACGUACAUGGCUAGAAGUCCAGGCGCCGGUCGACGUCAUCCGGGACACUUUUUACCAAGGUUGACCUCGGAUCAGGUAGGGAUACCCGCUGAACUUAAGCAUAUCAAUAAGCGGAGGA
rnacentral:misc_RNA from 1 species